AGUGAACGCUGGCGGUAGGCCUAACACAUGCAAGUCGAACGGCAGCACAGUAAGAGCUUGCUCUUACGGGUGGCGAGUGGCGGACGGGUGAGGAAUACAUCGGAAUCUACUUUUUCGUGGGGGAGAACGUAGGGAAACUUACGCUAAUACCGCAUACGACCUACGGGUGAAAGCAGGGGAUCUUCGGACCUUGCGCGAUUGAAGGAGCCGAUGUCGGAUUAGCUGGGUGGCGGGGUAAAGGCCCACCAAGGCGACGAUCCGUAGCUGGUCUGAGAGGAUGAUCAGCCACACUGGAACUACAACACGGUCCAGACUCCUACGGGAGGCAGCCGUGGGGAAUAUUGGACAAUGGGCGCAAGCCUGAUCCAGCCAUACCGCGUGGGUGAAGAAGGCCUUCGGGUUGUAAAGCCCUUUUAUUGGGCAAGAAAAGCAGCAGGUUAAUACCCCGCUGUUCUGACGGUACCCACAGAAUAAGCACCGGCUAACUUCGUG
rnacentral:rRNA from 1 species